AUUUUUCAAUCACCCACGUGUUUAUAACCAAUGAGGAGAUGGCACGUGGGUACCUGCUUCUAUAAACCAAUGAGGAGGUAGGAGAGGCAGGACUUGCAGCGCGAUCUCCGUCAGAAAUAGGAAUGACUUCUACCGUUGGCGCGUGUGAGCAGUGUGGGUGCAAUAAUUGAAUAACAUGGAUUUCUACAUUUAUUUUGCGACGCUCGCGCACACGACGUGUCCGGUCUGGUCAGCAUGUAAGUGGUGAUGUCCCAUCCUUUCAGGUUGUUGGACUGAGGUAGGACUAAAUAGAUUUAAAUAGUGGAGUAGGGUGGUGUUAUUUUGAAUUUGUGAGUGUAGUGUUAGAUGGUAGAGUAUUAUUUUUUAAUUUUUUUAAGCAAAGUAUAAGGGCGUUAUACUCCAAUCUAAUAGGGGGCGGUAAUGCAACAUUUAUUGGAUGCCAACCGCCUUUAAACCUCAUCAAAGAAGAUCACAACCGUAAUGUAGCAUGGGUAAAUUGUGACUGACUGAUAUACAAAUAAUAAGGAGUAGUUAUUUCUGAUGGAAGGUGAUUUGUAGAUCAGUUAUUCGGCUGCACUGUCGCGCAAGCCCAUAUCUCCGGUUGAUGAGAUCUAGGCGUGCCGCAUUUACUCGUCUAGUCACGAUUGAGGAACCGUCGACAUAAAUUAUCUGUCUUCCGUUUCACGGACGCUGUUGAAGGUGUUUAACUAUGUCUCCAAGAGAUAUAGAACAACAGACAUUUGAUAUUAUUAGUUGCUUCUUUGAAGAGGAGCAGAACCCAGUAUGUAAUCGGAAGGUGUACCGAGACAUUGAGUCUGAUGGACCUGGCGAUGAUGACGAGUUUGACCCAGUUGUAAUAGCUGAUAAACUGAGGGAACUUGGAGAUGAUUUUGAUGUUAAGUUUAUCCAGCCUCAUAUCAGAAAACUCCAACAAGCAGUUGCAGACAAGGUGGUGGAGGAGUUUGCGCGUACUGUGGACAGCCUGUGUGCAGCCCAGAGAGCAGAGGUGGCCCCUGAGAUGCAGCUGCUGAGGGCCUCCAUGGCCCUGGGUCUGUACGUUAAGAAGACCUGUCCUGACCUUAGAGCCACCAUCCAGUCUUGUAUGACCGCCUUCAUUAACACCCGGCUGGCUGGCUGGAUCACCCAGCAGGGAGGAUGGGAUCAAGUUACUAUGGUAUAAAAACAUGGAGAAGAUGUCAUCCACAUCAUUUUUGUACAAUGAGGAAGAGGUCUUAAUGAGGAGGUCUUAACACAUAUACAGACUUGAGGAGUUAAGUCUUCUCUCUUUCUUUCUCUCCUUCUUCCCUUUUUUAUUUUCUUUCUUUCUUCUCUUCUUUCUUUCUUUCUUUCUUUCUUUCUUUCUUCUCUCCUUUCUAUCUUUCUUUCUUUCUUUCUUCUCUCCUUUCUUUCUUCUCUCCUUUCUUUCUUUCUUUCUUUCUUUCUUCCAUCUGUCUUAUGUUCCUGUCAUGGCCAUUUGAACUUGCCAGUUGUAUUCCCUGUUCACUUCCCCUAAGUUGGUUCUUUGAG
rnacentral:lncRNA from 1 species